rnacentral:rRNA from 1 species
AUUGAACGCUGGCGGCAUGCCUUACACAUGCAAGUCGAACGGUAACAGGUCUUCGGAUGCUGACGAGUGGCGAACGGGUGAGUAAUACAUCGGAACGUGCCUAGUAGUGGGGGAUAACUACUCGAAAGAGUGGCUAAUACCGCAUGAGAUCUACGGAUGAAAGCAGGGGAUCGCAAGACAUUGUACUACUACAGCGGCCGAUGGCAGAUUAGGUAGUUGGUGGGAUAAAAGCUCACCAAGCCGACGAUCUGUAGCUGGUCUGAGAGGACGAUCAGCCACACUGGGACUGAGACACGGCCCAGACUCCUACGGGAGGCAGCAGUGGGGAAUUUUGGACAAUGGGCGCAAGCCUGAUCCAGCAAUGCCGCGUGCAGGAUGAAGGCCUUCGGGUUGUAAACUGCUUUUGUACGGAACGAAAAGCCCCGGGUUAAUACCCUGGGGUCAUGACGGUACCGUAAGAAUAAGCACCGGCUAACUACGUGCCAGCCGCCGCCGUAA